UCUAUAAAUUCGCCUUGGAUCUCAUUCGAAAAUUGUUUUAUAUCAUUUGAUUUACAUGAUGUUUGGUACAAAGUUGGCUUUGGGCGUAAAUUAACGUCGAAACCAAAUAAAUGCUCUUUCUUAAUUUUCUUUUUUUUGAGUGGAAUUUUAAAAAAAUGUUAAUAGACGGUAUUUAAUGUAGUUUAACAAUGAACGAUUCAUUUUAAAAAUUAUUGGGUCCUCUUGUUCAUGUAGCCGAUCUCCAGAAGGCUCUCAAAAAAAAGGGUGUCUGACGCCGUUUCAGACAAAUUUUCCUCACCGACUCUGAAAACGGCUUUUCGAGAAAAACACAUUUAAAGUUUCGCGAACCAUUCACAUUGAGUUAAACUGCUCCGCCUUGCGCUUCGCCUAUUUUCGAACGCCACGAGACGUCCUUAAUGAUGCGAUCAUAUCUACGAGACUGUUUGUCGGAUCAACUUCAGAUUUUCAGAAAAUAUUCACAAAUAAAUAUACAUUCGAAAAAUUAAAAAUUAAAAAUUGAUUUUCUAAAAAUUACAAGUGGAUAUUAGUUAUAUUAAGGGGUUAUAUGUAAUAAAAGGGGCUUUGUCUAUGUAUGUCAAUGUA